UGGACAGUGCCAACAGCUCUUUUUUGUGAAAUUGAACACAAAUGGCAGUGCUUUCAGUAACUCGAGUAGAGCUGUUUCGGUGGUUUCUUUCGUGAUGAAUGGAAGAUGUGUCUCCUUGGUUACUCAAGGCACUUAGGUAUCUACACCAACAUGCUUGCUGAACUAUAUGCGAAUAAAAGAGGCUUGAAAAAGCUUGGGACACAGG
rnacentral:lncRNA from 1 species